GCACACAGACAUGCAGGCUGUUCUUCUGCUCUUACUGCUGGCUGGAACCUCCAAAGGUCUAAACUCCUUCUGCAAUGCUACUCAGGAUGCUGCAUGUUAUGGGGCUCUGGGAGGACCUGUGUAUCUGCAGCUGAUGAGGGACACCACAGGAUAUGAACUGAAGUUGUUCAGUGGAGAUAAGAAUAUUUUUACAUCCAAAAGCUCCAAGAUAGUGUUCUACACCCCAUCAUUCCGUCAGAGGUGGCAGUUUGUUCCUGAUAACGGGACCCUGAUUAUAAACCCUGCAGAGAGGAGAGAUGCAGGAACAUACAGAGUGGAGAUCCAU
ensembl:lncRNA